GAGGAGAGAGGAGAAGGACAGGGACAAGGAAAGGGGCCCCUGGGCCCUGCUGACCGUCGCGGAAAAGGCUGUAGGAAAGAUGAGUCACCUGGGCACCCGCAGCAAUCUCUUCCUGCUGUUGGGGGCCAGGCGUGCUGGGGUCACCGCCCCCCCCCCACCCCCAGGGUGGUCGCCGGGAAAGGGGGCAGUGGGCAGGAGAAGGGAGGUGGCAGCCCCUGGGUCACUUCUGUGGAGGAGAGUGAACUUGACAUCCGAGAGUGUUGGCCUCUCUCCCUUCUUGCAGGGUGGAGGUCCUGAGUCCAGGGGCUUUCGUCCACCCCACGGGAACCCCGUUUUACUGAGUGCUUGAAGGUUGAAACUGCACGAUUUUGGCCACGUCACAGACCUGGGACCUUAGGGCUAACCAGUUCUCUUUGGAAGGACUCGUGCCUCCAGAAGGGGGUAUCUUUCUGUUCCCAAGCCUGGGCCUCUGGCACCUCCAGAAUGUCCAGGAUCGGGGAGUGGGCGUCCCUGGGAGAUGGGUCCCAGGCCUCCCAUCCCCCCCCCCCCAGCCACGACAGCCCCCUCUGCUGUCCCUCUGUGCGCAUGUGUCUGCUGUGAGCCCAUUCACUGCCAUGCCUCACAUUCUGUCUCACUGUCCUGCUUUUUCCACCCGCCGUGGCCCUUGGUGAGACACGGGCGGCGCCCACCCUCCGCCGAGGGGCGAGAUUUGAGGGAUGGCAACGUACAGGCACCAAGGGUUGGAGCUCCAUCUUCCUGUAAGUUCCCUUAUCCAAUCAGUGUGCCUCUCACAAUGGAGCUCUGGAAGCCAGGGCUUGGUGUUGUGGUAGCCUCCCCCUCCCCCCCCAGGCUGGCUCCCUUCCUGUGCUGAGCCAGCAGCAGCAGAUCGGGUGGCCUGGUGGCUGGCACCAGCACAAAGGCCUCCCAGACUCCCAGGGCAGAGCCAGGCUCCCUCCACCCCCUCCCUCCACCCCAGCUUGCUGCAGAGUCGACCCUCCACACCCAGCUACGGGACACGCCCUCAAGAGUUCUUCCCCCCAAUCCCAGCAGAAGCGGCGCCGCCUGUCCUGCGGGAGCAGCUGAACACCCCCACCCCACCCCGUCCACACCCUGUUGCAUUGUAGUUGAAUUUGUCUGUUUCCAUUUGGCUUCACCAGAGUGAUUAUGAUAGUGAAAAGAAAAAAAAAAAAAGGAUGCAUGUAUCUUGAAAUGUUUGUAAAGAGGUUUCUAGCCCACCCUGGGGAGGGGGGGCGGUUCUGGAUCUUUCUCACCCCUACCGGAACUUGGCUAGGACUUGCUCAACAGCAGAUUUGGCCAUCUUACGACUGAGCUGUGAAGAAGGCCUGAGCACCGGAGGCCCAACUAUGCCCCUGGCACGGAGGCCUCCGCUGCCCCGCAGCUCCCUGCUAGGGCAGCCUGUGGCCAGCCUCGUGCGCAACAUGGAGACGAGAUGGUGCUCAAGCCCACAGCAGCUCUAAAGGAGAGUCUUACCACUGUGCCACCAGAAAAAGGACGUCGGUGCCAGCCGGAAGAGCUGCAGCCCCCCGGAAGCUCCAUGAGCCUGCAGGCAGCCGUCCCUGGGCUGGGGGGGGGGGGGUUCUCCAAGAUCUCCUUGGUUGUGGUGGUGGGGGGUGGCUCCUUGGGCCUCCUUACUGGAGGGAUUGGGAAGGACUGCCCAGCAGGCCCGGACGCCAGGUGCCUGGGCUGUCUGAGAAAAGGGGACCAAGUCAGGGGACCCACUUAGCUCCCAAAACCUUUGCCCACCCCCACUGACCUAGCACAAGCUUUCUUUGCUGCUACUGGGAAAGUGAAAUCAUCUUUGCAGAAACCCAGCCGCCUCAGGCCCAGUUAGUUCUGCCACCUCUGGUUUGGGUAGAGACAGCCCUGAGAACGGGGGAGCAGAGCUUUCCUUGCAAGGAAUUAUAGGGGCCCCAGGAACUUUCCAUGGUGAGCUUCCCUACUGCCACGUCUCAGCUGUCCUCAGAAAUGAAGGGUUCUGAGGGGGAGAGGAGGAAGGAUGGCUUAAAAGAUGUUGACUGAUGUUUCUUGCACCUCAUUUUCCCCUCCUGUAACCCCUGUGCUGUUGUGUAUGGAGGGCUCUCCCAUUUCCCUUGUGGGAUGGGUGUUGAGGCCAACCCAAAGGCCAUGGCUUAGGGUGGUCCGUUCAGUGCUGACUGACUGCAAAGGGAUGCUGGCUUGUGACUGUAAUGGACAAUCGCCCCCCCCCCCCCGGGGCUGGGCAUGUCUCUCCCUCCAUUUUCCCUGCUCCAGAGCCAAUGGCCCUGAGUGGCUAAAUAGGGCAUACGAUGACCGGUUCCUUCCAACUUUCUAUUCACUUUAAUAGUUCCAUUUAAAUCGACUUCAGUGGUGAGACUGUAUCCUGUUUGCGAUUGCUUGUUGUGCUGCGGGGUGGGAGGGGGAAACAUGUAAGAUAGUUCAUAUGGGUGGGAGGGGGGAUAGUCUUGGAGUGCAGCAAGUUCCGCUGCCUGGUAACCCUUUUCAGGAUUCAUGUUGCUAGAGAGAGGUGGUGUCAUGGGGCUUCGGCUGCUCUGCCCCUUGUACCAGCAGCCAGUUGGUUCCUGCGGCCUCCCCAGCCAGGUGCAGUCGCCCAGCUAGUGGAGGAGGGACUUGAGACCUGGUUGCUCCAGCCUGCUGUCCUCUUGGGUGUCCUAAGCCCACGUCUCUGGCUCCUCGAGGCCUGGCACUCUUCCCUCGAAGCCACUGGCACCUUCGUAUCCUGCCUUUCCCACUGGCUCUCACAGUCUAGCAGCUGUGAGAACAUUUCAUGCCCCUUGCCGUUCUUCCCCAAGUAACUCGAAAGGUGGGGAUGUGGGUAGAGGUGGUUAUCAGCCAUAGGGCCGUGGCUUCGUGAGCCUUUCAAGUACUUCUCUCCAAUUUUGCAAAGGGUUAUCCUGGGCACUGAUCCAGUGUCUCAACUCCUCUUGGACCUAACCUGUACAUUUGCUGUGCUGGGCAGGGCCGUUUCCAGCACUUGCAAGUCCCAAGAUUUCUUUGGUAACUUUGGGGGGGGGGAACACAUGAAAUCAGCUUAGCUUAGCUUCCUGUCUGUGAAUGUCCACAUAGUGUAUUGUGUGUUUUAACAAAUGAUUUACACUGACUGUUGCUGUAAAAGUGAAUUUGGAAAUAAAGUUAUUACUCUGAUUAAAUAAGGUCUCUUCUAUACAUGAAUUCCAAGGACAAGAAGGAUUCCCAAUUUCUUUUCUACCCUUAGAGAACUUCAGAACAGUAAAUGAUAGUACUGU